rnacentral:rRNA from 1 species
UAAUACGUAGGGAGCAAGCGUUGUCCGGAUUCACUGGGUGUAAAGGGUGCGCAGGCGGGAGAGUAAGUCAGAGGUGAAAUCUCACAGCUUAACUGUGAAACUGCCUUUGAUACUGCUUUUCUUGAGUUCGGGAGAGGUUGAUGGAAUUCCAGGUGUAGCGGUGAAAUGCGUAGAUAUCUGGAAGAACACCAGUGGCGAAGGCGGUCAACUGGCCCGUAACUGACGCUCAGGCACGAAAGCGUGGGUAGCGAACAGGAUUAGAUACCCUGGUAGUCCACGCCCUAAACGAUGAAUACUUGGUGUUGGUCCUUUUGGAUCAGUGCCGUAGGUAACCUGAUAAGUAUUCCACCUGGGGAGUACGCUCGCAAGGGUG